CUCCUUGCCUGUUCCCUCUGGAUAUAUCCAAAACCAGGACUUGUGAGACAUUUUGUGGAGAAAAUUAGGAAGCAAGUUGACAUAAAACAAGUGUACACAUUAGAACUCAGAAGUAAGGAGGUAACUCAUAGUUCCUGAAAGUGAAUAGACUAAAUUUUAAUCAUGGCCUUUGGUCUUAUAACACAUGCCAGCUUCAUCACCAGUCACACUUCAUACUUGAUACAUCUUUUGCCACCUUUCAGUUUUAGUUGUACAGAAAAUAUUUUUAGCAACAAAUGAGCAAAUUAAUGAGAUGAGAAACAGAAAAAAAAAGUGAGAAUGAAGAUUACCAAAGACUAGGCAUACAUGGUCAUUGCCAUGGGCAUUCAUGGUUCUCCAUCAUAUUUGGUGCAGGAAGGAGAGAGUUUUCAGUACAGGAAAAAAACAUGGCAGACAUUAUAAAGUAACAUGCCUUAGUAUGUGGUGGCAUGUACUGGCUACUAUUAGGAAAAAGAAAUAAUCUCCCUCCUGAUUUAGUAAAAAUUACUCUUACCUCUCAAAUGUCUACAAGUCCCUUGAGAGUGGGGACCAAACCUAAUUUGUUGUUAUUGCUUAUUGCUUAACUAGCACAGUAUCUGCCCACUAGCAGCAACCUUAUACAUAAUUGUAGAAUACAUGAAUUAACAAACAAGGAGCUGGAAAACCAGACCAUUCUGGGGUGACCCAGUGUGUUUGUGUCUCUCUGGGAUGUGUUUAAGUGUAUACAAUUUUGCAGUAGGUAUUCAUUUUUAUGCUGAAUAUAUUGGCAGUAUUGUGCAUUCUGCAUGAGUUUCUGGUAUGGAGGACAAGUUCUGGUCAGUCAGUUCCUCAGCAUAAUUUUCAUUUAAAUGAGGCAACAGCAUUCUACCCCAUACUUAGGUAGAAGGAUGGUCUAAUGGAGCUUCUAAUGGGAAAUAGUUUUUAGUGUAAAAAAAUGAUGAUUAAUUUUAGAUGGUAUUCUUUCUAAUUGUCUAUGUCACCAAGUGAAAUCUAAUCUCUUGCAGUGUGGUUUUGGAAUUCAAAUGUUAUUAGUUGGAAUUGACAUUAAUUACUUUUGUGCUGCUUGGCAUAUGCUGGAACAUUAUUUCUACAACAAUUCUACCGAAGUCGCUUAGGCAAUUAUCUCUGCUGUGAUCAUUGUCAUCGUCAUCAUAAUUAUUGCUAUUAAAUCUCUCCUGUUCUCUGUGCAUCUUAGCUGUUCUCCACACACCAUACCCCUUUUCUCUCCUCCAUCUCCCCUAUAGGAAGUCCCAUUCUCCCGCGUGUGGUGCAGUAACCGACAGCCCCUGCACUGUGCCUUCUCCCUGGAGCUCUACACGCCCACCACCACCCAGCUGUCCUGCAAAAUCUGCAUCCGGCAGCUCAAAGGCCAUGAACAGAUACUCCAAGUGCAGAUAUCCAUCCUAGAGAGUGAAAGAGAAACCAUCACUUUCUUUGCACAAGAGGACAGCAGUUUCCCUGCACAGACUGGCCCCAAAGCCUUUAAAAUCCCCUACUCUAUCAGACAGCGGAUUUGUGCUACAUUUGAUACCCCAAAUGCCAAAGGCAAGGACUGGCAGAUGCUAGCGCAGAAAAACAGCAUCAACAGGAAUCUGUCUUAUUUUGCUACACAAAGCAGCCCUUAUGCUGUCAUUCUGAACCUGUGGGAAGCUCGUCAUCAGCAUGAUGGUGACCUUGACUCCCUGGCCUGUGCCCUUGAAGAGAUUGGGAGGACACACACGAAACUCUCAAACAUCACGGAAUCCCAGCUGGACGAAGCCGACUUCAACUACAGCAGGCAGAACAGACUCUAGUCCCCUUCCUCUCGGGAGCAGAGGGAUGGCCAACUUGGGGACUUUGACUUUAAAUGGGAAAAAAAAGAGGCAGCUUUCUGCUCAGCGUCAUUUGGGGAAUUCAGCUUGGUUGGUAAUCAGUGAGAUCCCCUGGUUGAAGGAACUGAAUUUUCUAGAGGUAAAACAUGCCAGUAGAGCAAAGGACCAGCUCUCUUAGAUGUCAGAGGGUUUUAUUGUCUCCUCUGAAUCACACGCAGGUCAACACUGGAUGCCCUCCUCGGAUCUGGAGUGUCUAGGAUAGACAGGAAGGCAUAUUGAGACAAAAGUAGCUAUGGAGAGAGAGGAGCUACAAUAAAGCUGAAGGCAGAGAUUGAUUAAGUGCAUGUUUUGAAACAGGUUUUAAAUGAUGUGCCCCACAGGGCCAGCAGAUUCUGGUACCAGUUUGUCAGUUUUCUACCAACUGGCAUUUGUAAUGUCAAGAAUCAUUGUAAAACUGACUUUUAGAAGUAAAACAGGGUUGCCAACCCAUUUGUAUGACUUUUUCAACAUCAAAGAGGGCGUUUAGAUUCUAGAAUCUGAAUACACCACACCAGCACCAAUUUCCUGUCUAUACUAGCCACUGAACGGAGACAAGACCCAAAAGUCAGACAGACCACGAACUAGUUCUCAUAGGGUACCUCACCUUCAUUUUUUCCCAAAGACAAAUCUACCCACUUCUCUCCUUCCUGAACUUCCAGAGUAGAGAGGUUUCAAGGAACAUAAUGAGAUUUUUGAACAUGGAAAUUUAUCUCUUCAAACUCAGCCAAGUAGUAGUAUCUCUAUUCCCAGUUAAGCCAGUCAAAUUGCAGAGUGCUGUUGGAACACAGCUUAUUACAUGGAUUCAGAGACAGGACUGGUCAGGCCAGGUCCAAGGAAACAUGAACUGCAGAUGUCAUGGACCUCAAAUAAGCUGUAAUUCUAAGAGGCAGGCGUUGAUCCAGUUCUCCAAUAUUUUUGUAACAAGGGAAUGAUGAGAUUUACUGCACUUUUCGAUCCAAGUUCUGGAAAGUUUCUUAACAUUUUGGUACCAUGCCAUCAUAGAAUCUCUCAGUAGGGCCACCUAGGUCACCCUCCUUUUGCCUCUUGAGAAAUUAGCAGACAGGCUUUGUCUUAGAUGAUAGCUGAAUAAAUAGACCUGAGGAAUACAUGUCCCAGAAACCACAUCCAUCAUUGAAGGAGCUUCAAGCUCUGACUGUUCAGCCUCACCAAGUACCCUUUCUCCACUGAACCUUUAACAUGUGGCCACUGCUUUAUUUUUCUGUUUUAAAAUAGGAGGCAGUGGUGUUGUACAGAACUCAGAUUCAUCAACCAUUCAUCAUCCUCAUCUUAAUACUUUAUUCCAUCUUUUUUAUCCUCUUCAGUGGUUUUUUGACAAGAUGCCUGGUAGACUACAGAUGAGCAGAGAUGCUCCAGCUCAUCUUCUGGUGUUUGUUUUCCUUAGCUGUCCACAAUCAGGACAACCAAAGUCAAGGACCUAGGUUAACCCCAAGGCAGCUAGUCAGCUACUUAGAGAUCGGCUACUUUAUUAAAAGUAGUCAUGGAAUGGGGGAGGUGGGAACUACUUGGCACUGGAGAUGCAAUCAAUUUUUUAAACACUUUUAUAGAUCCCUUGUUUUAAAAAAAAUGUUGUGAAUCUCCCCAUAAGUGGAAAAGACCUAAAGGAAGGUGAAGUUUAGGAUACCAUGGAUAAAACAUUGAAGAACUCUG